rnacentral:rRNA from 1 species
UACGUAGGGUACAAGCGUUAUCCGGAAUUAUUGGGCGUAAAGAGCUCGUAGGCGGUCUGUCGCGUCGGCUGUGAAAACUCGGGGCUCAACUCCGAGCUUGCAGUCGAUACGGGCAGGCUAGAGUUCGGCAGGGGAGACUGGAAUUCCUGGUGUAGCGGUGAAAUGCGCAGAUAUCAGGAGGAACACCGGUGGCGAAGGCGGGUCUCUGGGCCGAUACUGACGCUGAGGAGCGAAAGCGUGGGGAGCGAACAGG